UACGUAGGGCGCAAGCGUUAUCCGGAAUUAUUGGGCGUAAAGAGCUCGUAGGCGGUUUGUCGCGUCUGCCGUGAAAGUCCGGGGCUCAACUCCGGAUCUGCGGUGGGUACGGGCAGACUAGAGUGAUGUAGGGGAGACUGGAAUUCCUGGUGUAGCGGUGGAAUGCGCAGAUAUCAGGAGGAACACCGAUGGCGAAGGCGGAUCUCUGGGCCAUUACUGACGCUGAGGAGCGAAAGCGUGGGGAGCGAACAGG
rnacentral:rRNA from 1 species